rnacentral:rRNA from 1 species
CCCUACGGGGGGCAGCAGUGAGGAAUAUUGGUCAAUGGGAGAGAUCCUGAACCAGCCAAGCCGCGUGAGGGAAGACGGCCCUAUGGGUUGUAAACCUCUUUUGUCGGAGAACAAAACCCGGGACGAGUCCCGGACUGCAUGUAUCUGAAGAAAAAGCAUCGGCUAACUCCGUGCCAGCAGCCGCGGUAAUACGGAGGAUGCGAGCGUUAUCCGGAUUUAUUGGGUUUAAAGGGUGCGUAGGCGGUCCGUUAAGUCAGCGGUAAAAUUGCGGGGCUCAACCCCGUCGAGCCGUUGAAACUGGCAGA